UUUGUCUUGCUACAAUAAUUAACAGUAAUCCUAUUAAAGUUCAGCUAAAGUUCAUAUAUAUAGGCGGAUCAUGCUUCCCUUAUGAGCUACCAAAUUCUUAUCACCUCCACUGUGCACGGUUGCACUAUUUGCUUUAUUUUAAAUUUAUUGAUCUCCAUCCUCCAAGCACUGCAUCUGAAUUUAAAAGAAGCCAAGGCUGUCAUGAUUCUACUUGCUCCUGGACACCAGGCACACGGUGGCAAGAGUUGUUCAAGAGCUCCUGCAGCUUGUGGGCGUGAUUAUUUUUAUUGCAGUUCUUAGGCUUCAGCACAUGCAAACAAAAGAGGAAAUUAACAACCCCAUCAAGUACCCAUUUUAAAUUAUUAAUUUUGAUUAUCUUAAUAGAAUUAUUGCAUGCAUUAAUUCAAGAUUAAUGUUAUAUAAUUUUCUUGAAGAUCUGUGUGUUGGAACCAUGGAAACAUUGCACUUUGUAAAACAAUAUUUUAAACCAUGUUGCUUACUCUUGCUAGGACUGUCUCAAAACUCAGGACAUGACAGCUAAUGUAGAUCAAGAAUAUGGGAUCCUUCCUUCUUAUGAUCUAUUGCUCAUCUAUAUAUAACAGGUUCAAUGUGAUGGUCUAAACAACAGCCAAGAAAACCAGUAAAUUCAAAUUCUUUAUAGGCUUUCAUCUAUAGAAGUGAGAAAAUGGCAGUGUUUCAUCUCCGAUCAAUCAGCUUACCUUCUAGAUCUCAUCCUCUAGCAGUAAACAUUGAGGAGC
rnacentral:lncRNA from 1 species